UUCUAUUUUUCUCUUUGGAGCAGAGGUUGCAAAACUGUGAUGCCUAACAAAAACGUUGUGUAUAAAAGCUCCAAAACCAAGCAUUAGCCUAAAUUGGCUAUAACUGCAACUUAAAUCAAAAACUAUAUCCAACUAGAUCUUCGUUGUGGCUAUGCAACUUUUUGCUUUGUGGCCUGAAGGUUUUUACUGAGGUAACAACCUCUUAUCUCUUGUCCUUCCCUCAACCACAAAAGCAAAAAUAAACAACAACAAAAAACACCUCUACAGCUUCCUUCUUCAUGGCUGUCUUUGGCAAUGCUUCCAAAUCUUGAAAGCAAAAGAACCUGCUGAAGUAUAUGAGGAGGAUGAAAACACUAAACAUGACAUAUGAAAACCAAUCUAAGCGUAUGAAUUGAGAAAGAAAAUACUAGAAGGAAGGCAGAGCAGCAGUCGGCCCUCAACAGAAAACAAAAAAGAAGGAGGGCUGUAACUGCUCUGGCCCUUCUUCCAUAUUAUCUCCCAAUUAGAAGAGCGUGGAACCGAAAACUUAAACUCUGAAAAGGUAAUAACUUUCAAGGAGGAGCUACGGAAGUGAAUAAAUGAUAAAGAAGAACAGCAGUAGCUUUAGCUGUCAAUGAGUUUCUUUGCUCUGGCAUUGGCAAUAUCAAUACGAUCUCUGUUGGUGUCAGCCUGAAAAACAAGAAAGAUAUCAGCUUUACAAGGUAAGUAACUCUAAUAAAAAUUAAACUUUUUACACUUGGAGUAACUGACACACCAAGAAAAUCCAAGAAACCACGUGAAGUUACAUUACAAAACUCAUGUUGGGCAAGAAGUAACAGAAUAUGAAAUUCAUUUGGAAAACCCCUGGUAUAUAAACAUGACAAAGGUGUAACAUAUAAGACCUUGCCAAUAUUUCAUAAAUUCUAUAACGCAUUUUUUCAUAGUUUAACAUGCCUGAAACUGGGAUGCAUCCUGUAAUCAAUGGCAUUUUUUGAUGCAAUGAAAUAUGAAAGAGUGCUCUUCUCUGUUAAAGAUCUGGACCUUGUGUGAGUCCUCUGAACUGAAUCAUAGAAUCUCAUCUGGAUUCAGACACCCUAAGUCUAACCUGGAGAGACUGAAAUAACCUUUCCAAAGAUCUUUGAAACGAAUCUAUUACCAUCCUCACCAACAUCUGAAUUAAAAUGACAGGGGUCAUGUACUGCUAAACUCAUCUCCUAAGUGAACCAUUCAUUAAGAAAGGUACAGGAAUAUCAGGAGGAGUUGGCAUACCGUUUAAUGUAUCCACCACUGGCUGCUCCCGUUGUUGGUUGCUGAAGCUGACCAUUUGUCACCGGGCCUGGCUGUUUAGAUACUACAUUGCAAGUGUCAACCAGAAAAUGCUAUUAUUAUGGAACAGCAAACUUCAACCUUGAAUCUACCAAUAACUCCCCACAAUCACUCAGAUCACUGGAUCACUGAGCUGAGACCACCAAGUAAUUUAUAAAGCAAAGAGAAGAAAUUUAAGCCAGCUGUAGAAAUUUGCGUUAAGUAACAAGGAGCUGAAUGUUAAUCACCAAAACAAUGGGAAAAAUGUCUCCAGGGCAUAUCAGAGAUCUUCAUGGCAGCCCCUCCCAUCACAAGACCUGAGGCCUAGGAAGAAAAAAUGGUUUCGUGGGCAGCCUCAGAACUUGGGGCCCUGAGUCCCAGCUGCUCCAGCUCCUGGCUAAAAGGGGUCAAGGUACAGCUUGGGCUGUUGCUUCAGAGGGUGCAAGCCCCAAACCUUGGUAGCUUCCACGUGGUAGCUGGGCCUGCAGGUGCACAGAAGUCAAGAAUUGAGGUUUGGGAACCUCUGUCUAGAUUUCAGAGGAUGUACGGAAAUGCCUGGAUGUCCAGGCCAAAGUCUGCUGCAGUGGAAGAGACCUCAUGGAGAACCUCUGCUAGGGCACUGCAGAAAGGAAACGUGGGAUUGGACACCGCCCACCCCCCAGAAUCCCCACUGGGGCACUGCCUAGUGGAGCUGUGAGAAGAGGGCCACCAUUCUCCAGACUCCAGAAUGGCAGGUCUACAAACAGCUUGCACUAUGAACCUGGAAAAGCCUCAGGCACUCAAUGCCAGCCCAGCAGAGCAGCCUCUGGGCCUGAACCCUGCAAAGCCACAGGGUCAGAACUGCUCAAGGCCUUGGGAGCCCACCCUUGGCAUCAGCGUGCCCUAGAUGUGAGACAUGGAGUCUAAGGAGAUUAAAAUAAGUUUUAAGACGUAAUGGCUGUCCCACUGGAUUUUGGACUUGCAUAGGGCCGGUAGCCCCUUUGUUUUGGCCAAUUUCUCCCAUUUGGAAUGGGAGCAUUUACCAAUGCCUAUUCCCCCAUAGCAUCUUUAGAAGUAACUAACUUGCUUUUGAUUUUACAGGCUCCUAGGCAAAAGGGACUUGCCUUGUCUCAGAUGAGACUUUGGACUUGGACUUUUGGGUUAAUACUGGAAUGAGUUAAGAUUUUGGAGGCCUGUUGGGAAGGCAUGAUUGUGUUUUGAACUGUGAGGACAUGAGAUUUGAAAGGGGCCAGGGAAUCUGGGCGUGGUGGCUCAUGCCUGUAAUCCCAGCACCUUGGGAAGAUGAGGUGGGUGGAUCAUGAGGUCAGGCGUUUGAGACCAGCCUGGCCAAUAGAGUGAAACCCCGUCUCUACUAAAAAAUGCAAAAAUUAGCCAGGCGCGGUGGCUCACGCCUGUAAUCCCAGCACUUUGGGAGGCGGAGGCCGGUGGAUAACCUGAGGUCAGGAGUUUGAGACCAGCCUGGCCAACAUGGCAAAACCCCAUCU
ensembl:lncRNA novel transcript, antisense to SNAP23